UGCAAGAGCCGGCAGGAAAUUCCCCUCCUCCA
rnacentral:piRNA from 1 species